UACGUAGGGUGCGAGCGUUGUCCGGAAUUACUGGGCGUAAAGAGCUCGUAGGUGGUUUGUCGCGUUGUCCGUGAAAACUCACAGCUCAACUGUGGGCGUGCGGGCGAUACGGGCAGACUGGAGUACUGCAGGGGAGACUGGAAUUCCUGGUGUAGCGGUGGAAUGCGCAGAUAUCAGGAGGAACACCGGUGGCGAAGGCGGGUCUCUGGGCAGUAACUGACGCUGAGGAGCGAAAGCGUGGGGAGCAAACAGG
rnacentral:rRNA from 1 species